rnacentral:rRNA from 1 species
GACGGAGGGGGCAAGCGUUGUUCGGAUUUAUUGGGCGUAAAGGGCUCGUAGGCGGACUGGUAAGUCUGGCGUGAAAUCUCCACCACUCAACGGGGAGGGGCCGUCGGAAACUGUCAGUCUGGAGUAUGGUAGGGGCAGAGGGAAUUCCUGGUGUAGCGGUGAAAUGCGUAGAGAUCAGGAAGAACAUCGGUGGCGAAGGCGCUCUGCUGGACCAUAACUGACACUCAGGGACGAAAAGCUAGGGGAGCGAAUGGG